AUAAAAAUGGAAAAUGCAAAUACAAAUAGGUGAAAAAGUAUACUAUAUACUAGACUCUAAGGGCGGA
rnacentral:tRNA from 1 species